ensembl:lncRNA
CAAACAAACAGGAUGAGAUGAAAUCAAUACUAUUAAAUAAAAAAUACUAAGCACAGUCAUACUCACUGCCACACACACACACACACACACACACACACACACACACACACACACACACAGACGCUCACAAAUGUGGAACAUGUUCAUGUUCAUACUAGCGGCAUGUACAUAGACAUCCUCACUGCGUCUCUCACACUGACUGCCACACACACACACACACUCACACACAUUCACUGACACCCCUCACUGAGAUGAACUUACAAGAAAAUCAUUAAUCAUAAUUAUCACACACACACACACACACACACACACACACACACAGGAACAUGAACAUGUAUACUAAUAGGCACGCAUCCUAACUGCCACUACAUGAAUGCACAUGAACACCCCUCCACCUACACACACACACACACACACACACACACACACACACAUACACAUGCCCCUAAACCCAUACACUCCUGUGUACACAAUUUCACACGUGCACACACUUGCAGAAGAAGAAAAAAACAAAAUCCAAUCGUCAUCAACAAUACUGACACACAAGACUGAAAACUACAGCAUGCCAUGACACUUAAUGACAUCAUCAAUCAUCAGUCACAUGACCUCCCUCCCAUCCUAGUGGCUGGGACCCUCUCCGUAUCUUCAGGUAACGAGCAAUAAGUGCAUUGUGAAGCGCAUUGUGUAUACUCUAUAUGUGAUGCAGGACAGACACGGCUUGUUAAAAGACACUACAUGAACAUGAAUAAAAUCGCACACAGCUGGAUGAGUAGGUUUCUGAAAGCUACUGCUGAAAUGUUUAAAUGCGUUCUCAUCGUAAGACUACACGUUAAACGGCCAUGAAGGAAGAUAUGAGAAAGAUUAAAAAUAACUCUCGUCCCAGAUCCGUUCUUCUUUUCCAUCCCUUCAUCGAUCCGGUGGUGGAGUCUCCUAGUGCAUGUGUGUGUGUGUGUGUGUGUGUGUGUGUGUGUAUGUGUGUGUGUGUGUGUGUGUGCGUGUCUAUGUGUGUGAGUGCUCAUCCCCAGGUAAGUGCAGUUCUUGUGUCACCUGUGCCCACUCCUUCGUGGUACCUCGAUCUCUUUCUGUCUUUCAUCUGCCUCUCUCUUU